GUAAGGUGCAGAAUUAUUUUUGCAAUAUGUUCCUGAUAUGUAAUAUAUAAGUGUAUUGGGAACAUUUUGCAUCCAUAGUUUUGUAUCAUUAUA
rnacentral:pre_miRNA from 14 species